rnacentral:lncRNA from 12 species
AAAAUGUGUUUGAAGACGAUUACGCUUUUCCAUGCCCGUGUGAACUCAGCCUGUCCUGGAGCCUUCAUGGGAACUUCAGUAGGUCUUAACAACUACUCCAAGGCAUGCAUUUUAGAUGCAAAUCUCCUGGUGGUCUGCAGGUUUCUGAGAAAUGCCCUCUUGCUGAGAACCAUGGAGAAGGACCAUUUCUUCAAAUUAUGUGAUUCUGUAAAUUAUCCACCUUCUGGAAGAAAAGAGACAUGAUGGCACUUUGAUCUUCCACUCUGAAGUGGACCUGACCUGCUCGGAGUAAAGGUGACGUACAUUGUGUUCCUUGGUGCUGAGAGACCUGAU